rnacentral:rRNA from 1 species
UACGUAGGGGGCAAGCGUUGUCCGGAUUUAUUGGGCGUAAAGAGCUCGUAGGCGGUUCCGUAAGUCGUGAAGUCAAAUCUCUGGGCUCAACCCAGAAUCGCUUCCGAUACUGCGGUGACUGGAGUCCGGUAGGGGAGUGUGGGAAUUCCUGGUGUAGCGGUGAAAUGCGCAGAUAUCAGGAGGAACACCAACAGGCGAAAGGCACG